GAUGAACGCUGGCGGCGUGCUUAACACAUGCAAGUCGAACGGAAAGGCCCAAGCUUGCUUGGGUACUCGAGUGGCGAACGGGUGAGUAACACGUGGGUGAUCUGCCCUGCACUUCGGGAUAAGCCUGGGAAACUGGGUCUAAUACCGGAUAGGACCACUUCUUGGAUGUUGUGGUGGAAAGUUUUUUCGGUGUGGGAUGAGCUCGCGGCCUAUCAGCUUGUUGGUGGGGUAAUGGCCUACCAAGGCGUCGACGGGUAGCCGGCCUGAGAGGGUGUACGGCCACAUUGGGACUGAGAUACGGCCCAGACUCCUACGGGAGGCAGAAGUGGGGAAUAUUGCACAAUGGGCGCAAGCCUGAUGCAGCGACGCCGCGUGGGGGAUGACGGCCUUCGGGUUGUAAACUCCUUUCGCUAGGGACGAAGCGUUUUGUGACGGUACCUGGAGAAGAAGCCCCGGCUAACUACGUG
rnacentral:rRNA from 1 species